UACGUAGGGGGCAAGCGUUGUCCGGAAUCAUUGGGCGUAAAGCGCGUGUAGGCGGCCAGAAAAGUCCGCUGUGAAAACUCGAGGCUCAACUUCGAGCUGUCGGUGGAAACUUUCUGGCUAGAGUCCGGAAGAGGAGAAUGGAAUUCCUGGUGUAGCGGUGAAAUGCGCAGAUAUCAGGAAGAACACCCGUGGCGAAGGCGGUUCUCUGGGACGUUACUGACGCUGAGACGCGAAAGCGUGGGGAGCAAACAGG
rnacentral:rRNA from 1 species